UUAUGGCUCAGGAUGAACGCUAGCGGCAGGCCUAACACAUGCAAGUCGAGGGGUAACAGGGAGUAGCUUGCUACUUUGCUGACGACCGGCGCACGGGUGCGUAACGCGUAUACAAUCUGCCUUGUACUGGGGGAUAGCCUUUAGAAAUGAAGAUUAAUACCCCAUAGUAUAUGACUGUGGCAUCACAGCCAUAUUAAAGGUUACGGUACAAGAUGAGUAUGCGUCCUAUUAGCUAGAUGGUGUGGUAACGGCACACCAUGGCGACGAUAGGUAGGGGCCCUGAGAGGGGGAUCCCCCACACUGGUACUGAGACACGGACCAGACUCCUACGGGAGGCAGCAGUGAGGAAUAUUGGACAAUGGAGGCAACUCUGAUCCAGCCAUGCCGCGUGCAGGAAGACUGCCCUAUGGGUUGUAAACUGCUUUUAUACGGGAAGAAACACCCCCACGUGUGGGGGCUUGACGGUACCGUAAGAAUAAGCACCGGCUAACUCCGUGCCAGCAGCCGCGGUAAUACGGAGGGUGCAAGCGUUAUCCGGAAUCAUUGGGUUUAAAGGGUCCGUAGGCGGACGAUUAAGUCAGAGGUGAAAGUCUGCAGCUCAACUGUAGAAUUGCCUUUGAUACUGGUUGUCUUGAAUUAUUGUGAAGUGGUUAGAAUAAGUAGUGUAGCGGUGAAAUGCAUAGAUAUUACUUAGAAUACCAAUUGCGGAAGGCAGGAUCACUAACAAUAUAUGACGC
rnacentral:rRNA from 1 species